rnacentral:rRNA from 1 species
GUAAUGCGUAGGAAUCUGUCUUUUAGUGGGGGACAACCCAGGGAAACUUGGGCUAAUACCGCAUGAGCCCUGAGGGGGAAAGCGGGGGAUCUUCGGACCUCGCGCUAAGGGAAGAGCCUACGUCUGAUUAGCUAGUUGGUAGGGUAAAGGCCUACCAAGGCGACGAUCAGUAGCUGGUCUGAGAGGACGACCAGCCACACUGGGACUGAGACACGGCCCAGACUCCUACGGGAGGCAGCAGUGGGGAAUUUUUCGCAAUGGGGGCAACCCUGACGAAGCAAUGCCGCGUGGAUGAAGAAGGCCUUCGGGUUGUAAAGUCCUUUCGUGGGGGACGAAAAGGCGGGUCCUAAUACGAUCUGCUGUUGACGUGAACCCAAGAAGAAGCACCGGCUAACUCCGUGCCAGCAGCCGCGGUAAUACGGGGGGUGCAAGCGUUAAUCGGAAUCACUGGGCGUAAAGGGUGCGUAGGCGGUACGUUAGGUCUGUCGUGAAAUCCCCGGGCUCAACCUGGGAAUGGCG